rnacentral:rRNA from 1 species
UACGAAGGGGGGCUAGCGUUGCUCGGAAUUACUGGGCGUAAAGGGCGCGUAGGCGGAUACUUAAGUUAGAGGUGAAAGCCCAGGGCUCAACCCCUGGAACAGCCUUUAAUACUGGGUAUCUUGAGUUCGGGAGAGGUGAGUGGAACUCCGAGUGUAGAGGUGAAAAUUCGUAGAUAUUCGGAAGAACACCAGUGGCGAAGGCGACUCACUGGCCCGAUACUGACGCUGAGGCGCGAAAGCGUGGGGGAGCAAACAGGG